rnacentral:lncRNA from 1 species
CCUUUCAUUUCCUUUGUGAGCAUGAAACAUUCAUCUACAAAACCCUAUCCUCCAGCUUGCAAGUAAAUGUUGUAUUUGAACGUUACAUGUAUUUUGGAAAACAUUACAAUAUUCAAACGUCAUGCCAAACGAUCGCACUUCAGUAUAAAUACCAUCGCACUUCAUCAUGACCAUUGCAUUUCAGCGUCCUCAUCUCACCUCAGAGUCUUACAUGUAUACUUUUUUAUUUUAUUGAUUUAUGUUUUUUAGCCUAUAUACAUAUAGGUCUGGAGCUGUGGGGAUAUUUUUUUAAUCUUUUUCGUAAAUCCUGAUUCAGGCUAUUGGCAAUCAAAAAUUUACUUCUGCAAUUUUGCUCACUGCACAAUGAAGUCAUACACAUAGUUCUUACACUGUAAUGUUUCGACAGCAAAGAGUAGGAACCGAAGACGAAAAUAAUGUUGACACCAAAAUUUCUUCUUUCAGUUUGAAAACUUCCGC